rnacentral:lncRNA from 1 species
AUCCAUUCAUCUAGGCAUGAGCCAAGGCACUGAGGCUUUUGUCUUGAUAUUAAAACUAGAAACAGAGGUGAGGUGUGAGUGUACAAUGAUACAAAUGAUCAGAGGGGAGAGGGAAGCCGAAGUGGCACAUGCAAUUGUAGCGGGGAAUGGGAUGGGUACGAUCAGUCCAGCACUAAUGCACUGAAUCCUAUAAGAACUU